CGCCAAUCGCAGACUUGUUUGUGUGAUGUCACUACUGGCUGUAACUUCCACCGCUUAAUGUUUUGCAUUUCAUUGUUGGUUUAAGUUACAUAAUGUAACUAGUACCUAGCGCAAUAUAUUCGCUAGCAAUCUUAUCUUAUAUUUAUAAUUUGAUUGAAUUGAAGGUAGAAAAAGUUUUUCAGUGGUCUGCUCAGAUGCAAGUUAAGCCCCUCCGGUGUUUUUUCCAUGAAGGUAAGUAUACCAUUAAAAUAAUACCAUAAAAAAAUUUUGUUUGUUUUUCUUUAACACACAAGUAACUACAAUUGAGUGGGUCGUGGAGAUGAUUCUGGAACUUCUGCCUGGUGCGGUUCUAAUGAAACAUAAAGAUAAAGAGCCUGAAGAAAACAAUCACGUUCCCCUCUCAGGUAGGAUCUGGGGUUUCUUGUCAGGUAAAGGUCCAGGAGAGACCUCACAAGGCGGUGCACAGGUGCACUCUGACAUUUUGGACGUUUUUCUCAUUCCGUCACUAGAGAAUAGGUUUGGUGAUGAAGUCAUUGUUCAGGAUGAUAAUACGUCUCACCACAGAGCAACGAGAGUUGAAGCUUUUCUUCAGGAAAGGCAGAUCAACUCCAUGACCUGGCCUGCAAACAGUCCAGAUCUCAAUCUGAUUCAAAUUUAUGGUGGAAAUGUAAAAAUUGGUCCAUGACAAGGCUCCGUCCAGCAGAUCUAAUCUCAACUGCUAUCCGAGAAAGUUGGAACCAGCUUGAUGGAGAAUCUUCUUUUAUAUUAGUGAAGAACACGCCUCAGAGAAUUCGGGCCCGAGGUGAAGCGACGACGUACUAAUUCCAUAACAUUCUCCUCAACCUGACCUGGAAAUAAACUUGUUUGAGGUACGUCUCAUGAAGCCGGAAUGUUCAGCUAUUCAACAGAAAUGGUUUUGUGUCAUAUCUGCGAUUUUGUUCAUUUUCUGCGAAGUAAAAAAUCCUCCAAGUGUGGUGAGUCCAUCAUUUUGACCAGGGGUUGGAAUAAAAUUGCUAAAAUUUGACCAGUGUCUGGUUUGACUGCAGUGUGAAGUGGAGCUGAAAUAAACACCCAUCCUGCUUAAAUAAACACCUUCACACGGAGAAACAGGAUGUCAGCAGGAUGGUUCCAGUUCCGCAGAAGCACAUCAAACGAUGAUAUACGCCUCCACUACAUCUAAAACAAACAAUGUCACCAAGGCCACCGUAUUAAGUAUUGACUACAAUAAAGCACUUGAUGAUGGUUCAGUGUUCCUCAGAUAAGUGCAGCCAAUUUCACCUUUCUUUAAACACUAAAAGUUCUACAGUCAAACUCUUCCACACAUCAAUCUCUUACAUUAUAAAUAUAACGAAGUAUAAAUAUAAUAAAGGCUACAU
ensembl:lncRNA